UUUACAGAUAGGGAUCAACCUAGCGUGUAGUCAGUGACACGUUCGGUCCACCUGAAUAGGUGAUGAGCCCUCUAAUAAGGGUAAAGAUAUCAUUCCUGAGGACCAAGAAUAAGAGUACUCCAAACUCUAGCUAUUCUUACUGCAGUGGGCGGAUUUUCGUGGACCAGCCUAU